CCCUGGUGGUGGAAUUGGUAGACACAAGGGAUUUAAAAUCCCUCGGCGUUCGCGCUGUGCCGGUUCAAGUCCGGCCCGGGGCACCA
rnacentral:tRNA from 1 species